UCGAGGGUGACCUCGAAUCUGAAGGAAGCUGGAUAUGAGGAAGAUACUAACUCAUGGGCAAAUCUCUGGUCUGACGAACAGAAAUCUCAUAUGAGGUUAUGCAUGAGGAUAAGACUGCAGCACAAGCCAAAGUCCAAUAACUACACGGAAUCAUGCAUGAUAAAUGAGGCAGAUAUAUGGAGAGGAAGAAACGUGUG
rfam:Oribacterium sp. ACB1 genomic scaffold acqcx-supercont2.1, whole genome shotgun sequence.